rnacentral:lncRNA from 1 species
UGGAUUCGUUUUCUUUAAAAUAUUUUUCAUCAUCCUCAGUCCUAAAUGAUGAUAUAACUGAAUAUCUUUGGCCUGUAGUGCAAAGAUUAAUGAUUUUAUGAUUAAUAUCUUUGGCCCGUAGUGCGAAGAUGAACAUGUGUUGAGAUGAACAUGACCAACUAAUGAAUAUAUUUGGCCUGUAGUGCAAAGAUGAAUAUUUGAUUUAUGAUGUAUAUUGAUUGAUGUUACAAGGAUAAAAUAUUGAUGAUGAACUUUUAAAUUCAUAGAUAAUAGUAGAUUUCAUUCUCUACGUAACUCUUCUAUGAAUUAUUAUUUCCGCUGCGAAUAUUGAUCUGAAACUUAUUGUCUAUUAUAUUCUAUUUUUCCCUGUUGAAGACUAACGAUAAUUUGUUCUAUAUUAUCUUAGUCAUAAUAUUCUUUACUGGGCUAGUUGAACUCACCCUUUUCGUUUUUGUUCCAUUUUUCUUCUCAGGAGGCGAGAAUGUAGCGAGUACUAGUUGGGGUAUGGAAUGAAGGUUCUACAAAGUUAUUUAGUAGUCCUCACUAUUUUUGUAAAAUAAUAUACCAAUAAUUAUAAUGAGGACUUAUUUGAGUGUGAAUAUUGUCUAGAUGGCAAUAUUUGUAUUUAAACUCACAAUUUUUAUGUUGUAUUAAUAAAAUUGUAGUUGUUUCUGUACCAUGUUAUUGACGACUCAAAAUGGGUGAUGUAUACUUAUUUUGGGGGCGUCACAUCGGGAAUGACAUACAAGUUGUUUUAAGUUGUGAUUUAUAAGUAAAAGUGUUCGGCAUCAAUUUGACUUAUAAGUCAAAAUUUAAGUUAAAAUAAAUUACUCACUCCGUCCCAUAGUUAUAGGCUGAUUUCUUUUGGCACAUAGUUUAAGAAAAUCAGUUUAAGUUAAUUUUUAACACAAAUUUUCUACAUAUACCCCUUAAUAUAGAAUUAAUGAAUACAUUAAUUACUCCUUACUUAUCACAUUGAAAC